UCCUCAUCUGCUUCUGGCCAGCGCCUGCGUGGCUCCUGAAGGAGGGCAGUUGGUGGCUCAGGCUGGCUGAGGAGAUGGGUUGUUGAAAUCAGUUGGCCAGAUUGUCUGCCUGCCUGGGAAGACAGUUUGGCAGCUUCCGCUGAAGUUAAACAUGCAUCUACCCUAUGAUCCAGGAUUCUCACUCCCACGUAUUUACCCAAAAUAAAUGGAAACAUAUGUCCAAGAAGACAUGAACAAGAAUGUUCACGGUGGCUCUGGUAUCACUGCCAAAAACUAGAAACACAUGUGACUGUCAGCAGGGGAAGCGGCAAGCAAAUGGCUCUGUCCAUCACCAGGGGACCGUUCCGGAACAGAGGAGCAGUGACAGAUGACGGGGGUCCCAUUAAAAGCCACUGCGCUAGGAGGAUUACAACAUGCCCUGGAGAGGAAACUGUUCUCCGCAAGCCUGCACUUACAUCUAGGCAUCCUCUGAAUGAAGGGUGUGGCCCGCGGGAAAAUGAGAGGUUCCGAGAUGAUGUAAAUGUGGGGCUGCUCUGUCUAGAGCAGGACACCUGCCCCUGUCUCAAAGAGCUGGGUCAAACACUGGGAAACCAAACCAAGGUCUGUGACACAGGGUGUGACAGCAACCUCCCAACCCCUCCCUGCCAGGCCACUGCUAUUCUUUAGCGUUCAGCUUGUGACAAUUAUUACCUUGAAGUGUCACCACCUAACAGCUGCUGGGGAGCCUGGGUUAAGGCAUCUCUGGUCUAGGAUGCUUCCUGAAGGAAGGUUUGAAGGAAACUCUCCUGUCCCUUGGGCUCCGACUGUCACCAGCUUACCUGUGUUUAUGAGGGGGGACUCCAUGCACAGAAUCCCACUCAUCACUGCCAGGAGCCUGUGGCUCUGUCCCAUUACUGUUCUCUCCUCAGACGUUAUGUUCAUGUCUACAUUGUGCAGUCGGCUCUAUUUCACACUGACAUCUUUUUAAAAAGUGAUUUCUCUUUAUGUGGUACUAACAAUGGAACCUUGGGUGUUUGGAAUGCUAGGGAAACCGAGAUACAUCCCAGCCCCACAGUGAAAUCAUACAAAAUCUGACUAUGCAUGUUAAAACACUAAUGUUUCCAGAAUGUGCUGACAUCUGGGGACACUCUUUAGCACCUGGGAUUUUACCAACGCUUUUCAGUGGCUGGAGAGCGAGGUCUCAUCUGGAAAGCCCAAAGCUGACCCUCUCAUGUACCUUCACAUACAGAGCAUUUACUCUGUGCCACAAAACUGAGAAAGUUUUUUUUAUCUCCUUCUGUCCACACCAUAGCUGAGGUCAGGGAUUGUUUUGCCCAUACACAGGCCCUCAUGCUGGUGAGUGGCAGGCAGGACUCUGCUCCGAGUCUGCCCUCAGAAGAGACUCUGACCUAGUGAAUCUACCACCACAUGCCACUUCAGGAGUCCAGGCCUGGCUCAGAUGCAGGACCAAUCUUACAGCCAUGGAAUGAACACAACUUGGUCAUGAUGUAUGAUCUUCUUAAUGUGCUCUUAAAUCUCCUUAAAAAGUUAUAGUUACAUUAUUUAUUUGUGUGUAAAAGUCAGAGGACAACUUCUAGGAAUCAGUUCCUUCCAUCCGCCAUGUGGGUCCUGGGACUCAAACUCAGAUUGUCGCAUUGGCGGCAGGCACCUUUACCAGCUGAGCCAUCUUGCUGGCCCUUAAUGUGUUCUCGAAUUCUAUUUGCAAAAACGUUAUUGUGAGUUUUUGUAUCUAUGUCAUCAGGGACACUGGUGUACCACUCCUUUAUUUGUUGUUUCUUUAUCCGGCUUUGGGGAUAGGCUAACCAGGCCGGGGUGAAAAAGUGUGGGAAGACACAGGGUUGCUUGCCACUUUUCAGAAGUUUUAUUACAAAGAGGUCUGAGCGAAGCACUGGGGGACCGGGACAGACAUUGCAAGGGCCAGGAGACAGCUGCAAACAACACAAACCAAAGCCAGACCCCAAACCACACACAUGUUAGGAGAAACCACAGCGUUGUUCUCAACUUUUCUUCAUAAACAGAUGACCAAAAUUGUUGCUGGCAUUUUUAAAUAGGUGGAUAUGUGAUAUAUUAAAAAAAAAAAAAAAAGAAAAAGAAAAAGAGGAAAAAGAA